CAAGUAGGGCGUGAAAGCGUAUGGCUCAACCAUAUAAACAUGUCCUAAACUGCAAAGCUAGAAUGUAGGAGAGGUAGCUGGAAUUCCUAGUGUAGGAGUGAAAUCCGUAGAUAUUAGGAGGAACACCGAUGGCGUAGGCAGGCUACUGGCCUAUUAUUGACGCUAAGGCACGAAAGCGUGGGGAGCAAACGGGAUUAGAUACCCCGGUAGUCCACGCCGUAAACGAUGGAUGCUA
rnacentral:rRNA from 1 species